UAGGGUUUGACAUUUUAGAGUCUUUGCACAAAAAGAAAACAUUCUACGGCGGGGGAAGAAGACGAUUGCUAGUGUUCGGACCUUGAGUACUUAGAGGCUCUUUCGAAGGGCAAGGCUCAGAUUUGGUUGUUCGUGGCUCCAGCUCGGCAGCGAGAGUACCAGGUGAGAUCCACUUCUACCCCUCGUGGCUGAUUAUCGAGGUUGCUGCCGAGUCUAUUCAGGGUGCGCAUGAGGCCGUUCGCUGCACGAAGACUCUUCUUACUAUUUCUAUCUUAUUUCCAUUUCGAGACAUCUUUUGAGAUCUUAAGUAUUAUUUAGACUUGUAGUAAUUGGUAGAUGCUCUUGUAUGACCUGAGCAGAUACUGGGGUUGGA